GCUAGGAUGGCGGAGCGGUCAAACGCAACAGUCUGUAAAACUGUCGCCCGGAUGGGCUACCCAGGUUCGAAUCCUGGUCCUAGCACAA
rnacentral:tRNA from 2 species